rnacentral:rRNA from 1 species
CCUACGGGUGGCAGCAGUGAGGAAUAUUGGUCAAUGGACGAGAGUCUGAACCAGCCAAGUAGCGUGAAGGAUGACUGCCCUAUGGGUUGUAAACUUCUUUUAUCAGGGAAUAAAGCGAGCCACGUGUGCCUUUUUGCAUGUACUUUAUGAAUAAGCAUCGGCUAACUCCGUGCCAGCAGCCGCGGUAAUACGGAGGAUCCGAGCGUUAUCCGGAUUUAUUGGGUUUAAAGGGAGCGUAGAUGGGUUAUUAAGGCAUUUGGGAAAGUUUGCGGCUCAAACGUAAAAUUGCAAUUGAUACUGGCAGUCUUGAGUACAGUUGAGGUAGGCGGAAUUCGUGGUGUAGCGGUGAAAUGCUUAGAUAUCACGAAGAACCCCGAUUGCGAAGGCAGCUUACUAGACUGUGACUGACAGUGAUGCUCGAAAGUGUGGGUAUCAAACAGGAUUAGAUACCCUGGUAGUC